GGAAGCUAGACUCGGCCGGUGCCGGGCGCGGUCUUCAAAACCGUUGUUUGUCGUUCUGCGGCAAAAGUGGGUUCGACUCCCACUAGCUUCCGCCA
rnacentral:tRNA from 1 species